GGAAAGGGCCUUUCAGGCAUCCUCUCCCAAACUUUCAAGCCCGGCCUCGUGCCGGGCUUUUUUCUUUUCGGCCC
rnacentral:sRNA from 1 species